rnacentral:rRNA from 1 species
UGACACAGUAGGAUAAGCUAAGCACACUGUUGGUUAUGUGUGCCCAAGCAUUGAGGCAGUCAAAGUAGGUAAAUCCGCUUUGAUAAUGCUGGGAUGUGAUGGGGAGCGAAAUUUAGUAGCGAAGUAGCUGAUUUCACACUGUCAAGAAAAGUCUCUAUCGAGGUUAAAGGUACCCGUACCGCAAACCGACACAGGUGGGUGAGGAGAGUAUCCUAAGGCCAGCGAGAGAACUGUUGUUAAGGAACUCGGCAAAAUG